GAUCAUGGCUCAGGAUGAACGCUGGCGGCGUGCUUAACACAUGCAAGUCGAACGGAGUUUAGAGAGCUUGCUCUUAAACUAGUGGCGGACGGGUGAGUAACGCGUGGGUAACCUGCCCUUCACUGGGGGAUAACAGUUAGAAAUGACUGCUAAUACCGCAUAAGCGCACAGGUUCGCAUGAACUAGUGUGAAAAAACUCCGGUGGUGAAAGAUGGACCCGCGUCUGAUUAGCUAGUUGGUGAGGUAACGGCCCACCAAGGCGACGAUCAGUAGCCGGCCUGAGAGGGUGAACGGCCACAUUGGGACUGAGACACGGCCCAAACUCCUACGGGAGGCAGCAGUGGGGAAUAUUGCACAAUGGGGGAAACCCUGAUGCAAGCGACGCCGCGUGAGUGAAGAAGUAUUUCGGUAUGUAAAGCUCUAUCAGCAGGGAAGAAAAUGACGGUACCUGACUAAGAAGCCCCGGCUAACUACGUGCCAGCCGCAGC
rnacentral:rRNA from 1 species